rnacentral:piRNA from 1 species
AGACAUGCCGUACCACUCUCAGCUCGU